rnacentral:rRNA from 1 species
GAUGAACGCUGGCGGCGUGCCUAAUACAUGCAAGUCGAGCGAACAGACGAGGAGCUUGCUCCUCUGACGUUAGCGGCGGACGGGUGAGUAACACGUGGAUAACCUACCUAUAAGACUGGGAUAACUUCGGGAAACCGGAGCUAAUACCGGAUAAUAUAUUGAACCGCAUGGUUCAAUAGUGAAAGACGGUUUUGCUGUCACUUAUCGAUUGAUCCGCGCCGCAUUAGCUAGUUGGUAAGGUAACGGCUUACCAAGGCAACGAUGCGUAGCCGACCUGAGAGGGUGAUCGGCCACACUGGAACUGAGACACGGUCCAGACUCCUACGGGAGGCAGCAGUAGGGAAUCUUCCGCAAUGGGCGAAAGCUUGACGGAGCAACGCCGCGUGAGUGAUGAAGGUCUUCGGAUCGUAAAACUCUGUUAUUAGGGAAGAACAAAUGUGUAAGUAACUAUGCACGUCUUGACGGUACCUAAUCAGAAAGCCACGGCUAACUACGUG